rnacentral:rRNA from 1 species
GACGAACCGAGCGAAUGUUGUUCGGAAUCACUGGGCUUAAAGGGCGCGUAGGCGGGCUGUCGCGUCCGGGGUGAAAUCCCGCGGCUCAACCGCGGAACGGCCUCGGAUACGGGCGGCCUCGAGGGGGGUAGGGGCAUCUGGAACUGUGAGUGGAGCGGUGAAAUGCGUUGAUAUUCACAGGAACUCCGGUGGCGAAGGCGAGGUGCUGGACCCCAUCUGACGCUGAGGCGCGAAAGCCAGGGGAGCGAACGGG